GUGUGUUGUUAUGUGUUCUUACAGAGUAACCCGGCAUUACAGUUGUAGCAAUGGGAAUUUUAUAGAGAAAACAAAAUGAAACACCAGUGUGAAGAAAAAAUCAGGUUCUCGCUUUAACUCACCUGCAGACACGAUCGAGAACAGACAAGUAGCCAGCAGAAUCCAGCAGACUGAUGUUACAUCCAUUACUAGUUUUGUGGGUCCUGAUCAGAUCAGAGUGGUACAAAAGUUGGUGUGAAAAGUUGCCGACCAAUCGUGAAUAUUUGCUGGAGAAUGAUCGCUAACGCUCCAGUUACACAGGGCAGCAGAUCGAUGAGAGACCCUCUGACAGCAACCGAAAAAUGUGUUCCUCACCGGGAUGGUGAAACCUGUGCUCUGCUGCUGUUGGGACAAUUAGUUGUUAGUCAAUUGCGUCUAAGUUGAGGAGAGAUUGUGGAAGUAAAACUGUCAGUUCUUCAAAGUAAAGUUUCGUCUCGUGCAACAUACUGAUUGCAAUGGUGAAGCAAAACUUUUAAUUUGAAGGAUCUUCAAGGAUUCCCGCUGACUUUGUGUGUUAGUGUUCGUGUUGGUCUUUCAUCUGUGACACUGAGCAGCUUGUCGUCAUUGAUCCUGCUGGAAGGAGGAGCUUUUCUCCUGUAUGACAACACGUUGAUGUCGCUCAAUAAAAUAUUUCAUAUAAUAUUCCUGUAAAUAAUAAUCACCCCAGUAUUUAUGAGCACAAUCACUGUCCCAUCAUUUUAAAACACUGCCUGUUUUAACUUAAACAUAUCAUCUGCUUAUGGAUUUAUUUAAACACUGACUGAAAUCAUACUGGCAGAGUUUUUGACAUUAAUAGACCUCGAUUACCCUAACACACAUUAAUCAAAAAACACAUUAGAUGACUAAAUAAAUAAAGCACAAAAAAAUCAAAUGAGGGUGUCUGACACUGUUGCAGUAAAAAGGGGGAGAAACACAAACUAACUCAGAGACACAGACUGAUGCGACACAACCAGUAAGUAGGUGUACAGCGUACACUGUAGUGUAUAGCACACAGGAGUAUUAGCUUAUUACGUACACGUUGGAGAGCUGUCUUGUGGCAACUGACAAACUGAAACAAACCAACGUGCUGUGUGUGCAACAGCGCGACAAACAGUACAGAAGCUGAAGCUGCAUUCACUUACACUCGGAUAUCUGAGCUGCACUGUGAAAACAUAAUGGAUGCAGCAGCAGACUGAACCUUGACUGAAACCUGCUCCAUCAUCUCAUCUUUGCAGAUGUCCAUUUAUAAAGCAAACAACUCAAAGGUAAACAUGAUAUUAGAAAAUGUGUUAGUAUAUAAGGCCUUUAAAACAAAUAAUAAAUAAACAGCUGUCGGCAGAACUGUAGGACUGAACAACUUCAGAUCCCGAGUGUGUGAGGACACAGAAUGAAUCAGCUCUAUUUCAGAUUUGAGAGAUAAACUUUAUAUUUCAGUUUGUGAUGAUUCUGUUCUGUUUGUGAUUACAGGAGCCGUCCUCAGAUUCAGACCUCAGCACCAUCCAGUGACAGCAGACAGAUCAUCCUAUAUCUUCAAUCUUUGUAGUUACUCCAAAAUUAACUGAAGAAAACAGUACAAAGGUUAAAGUACCACAUGUGCUGUCAGUGAAAGCUGCAGCUGUUUUAUUGAUAAAGUUAAAGACAAAAAGUCAAAAGGAUUAAUCACCCAUGUAACUGUGUCACUAUACAUCAGCAUUAACAGGACCUCAGUUUGGUGUUUCAGGAAACUGCUGAUCUCAGACCUGCACAACUUCUGUUUUAAACACUGAAUAUACUCAGCUACAUGAAGAGCAUGUGAUGUUUUCUUUGACACAAUUAAAUAAAACCUGAUUAAAGUCAAAGGUCGUCACUUGUAUUUGAACUAAAAACUUGUGAUCUGGAAUUCUUUCACUGUUUUAUGACAAUAGUGUGUUAUUUACCAUAAAGUGAUUCAGAGUCAUUCAUACCAGAGUAACCAGAGAGCACAACAUAUAUUUAACUUUCUACAGGACUUAAAGAUAUUAUAUUAUGUAAAAGUCCAGACCCUCUGAGGAUUAUCUGAGUACUUCUAACAUUACACAAGCAAAGGUCUCCAUCAGUGUUCAUGAAAUGCUGGGUUUAUCCUUCUUGUGAGGGAGCUGCUGGUGAAGAUCACGAGCCCUGCUUGAUCCCGGCGAUGAGUCAGUCUUCCUGGUGUUUCUUAAAUGAUGUCUCUCACAGUGGGUCAACAGAACAUCUGGCACAGGACAGCUGUGAUGAAAGAAAUUGAAGAAGUUUUGAAAAAAAAUCUUGGAAAUGCCCUAUAUGUGAGAAGCAGAUUUAGUAUUUACUUUUCUUUUGCCAAUCAAUAUAACUAGAAGUCUAAUUUUCACCAUACAAUUACUAACCUUGUCAUCUCCUGCACUGUCUGUUUUGGGCUCUGGGCUUGUCCUUCCCAGCGCUCAUGAGACUGCUUUUGGUGCACUGUGGUAUGAGGUGCUAACCUGUUGACAGUGUUGGGAAGGUUAAUUUUAAAAUGUAUUCCACCAAAGAUUAUAGAAGUAAUGUAUUCUGAAUACUUUACAACUACAUGAAUGUCCUAUUGCUGUGUGAUUUAUUACUAUUACUGAAGGUUACUCGCCAUACCAAUACCAACUAGAUGUUAAAAUCUUAAUAUAAAUGAGUAACAGUAGGGUGGACAUUAGGUAAGGCUGCACUUUUUGCAGCGAUCUCGUAUAGAAAACUAUUCCGCGCAUAUAUAAAAAAGGUCCGCGGCUCCGAACCGUAGUAAAGGGACCUCUGGCUAAUAUGUCGGGUUCCGUGUCGGGCUGGUAGCCGAAAACUAGCUUUACUUUGUUGUCUGGGUCAACUUUGCUUGCGAGAGACAGAGAGAGGCGUUGAAAGGCUGCUCCAACGGAACUUAUUGUUUCAGAGGAAAACACGAACACAGUGUACAGUUGAGUCUUAAUAGCUUACUUACAAAUGGGCUCGUCAGGCACUCUUCUUGGCUGCAGUGGUUAUUAUUAUAUUUACAUGCUUCCAGCUCCCGUUUCUGCUCGAUGACAGCUCGGACUUUUCCUUUUUCUCCCUCCCUCGCUCACAGACACAUAACGGGUAUGGCAGCCCAUUCUCCCUGCAGCACGGACUACACUGCCCAUGAGGCUACAUUGUUUAGGGCCAUGCCUGUAACACUCUGCUAUUGCCUUCAUAUUAAAUCAUUUUUGUAUAAUAAUUUUUAGAGCCUCUUAUUGCGUGUUUUGUUUGGGUUUCCACCAGCGUGGAAUUACCAAAAAUAGAGAGACCAUAGCCUAACAUACGGCAACAUGUGGUAUUUGGUUGUUGGGAAGAAAGGGAAGAGAGAGAGAGAGUGAGCGAAAAAGAGAGAGAGAGUUUUGAUACGUGAGAGAUUUGUGACGUUUACCGUGUUUGGAGUCUCAUUUAGUGUGUUGUCUUGUGUAGUUAGUGUGUAGUUUUUGUUUUGUGUGUCAGUUCUACUAGUGAAUGUCACAGUUGCUGCAAAACAGCCUCCAAGGGAAGUUUGCAGUGUAAACGCUGAGUGACACACCUGCUGUCAGACCUGCAGUUUGAUUUCACAGAAGUGUGAUUGACUUGGAGUUACAUUGUGUUGUUUGGGUUUUCCCUUUGUUUUUUGAGCAGUGCAUUUAUUCUGUGUACUAUUGUAUUUAUGUAUUAUCAUUCUUUUCCAUCCUUACUAGGGCUGUGCGAUAUGACCAAAAUCUCAUAUCCCGAUAUAAAACAUUUAUCGUCCCGAUAACGAUAUAAAUCAAAAAUAAUGUAACAUUUUCUGUAUAUUCUGUGAAUCUCAGGCAGCUCAACUUGCUUGAAGUGUUUCCAGCUGAGUGUCGUGUACCUGGAGUCGAGUGUUUUAAUCGAUGCAUGAAAUGAUACAUUUUUAGACAUAAGUUGUAGCUGUUUUGCUUCUCAUCCGUAAACACUGCAUCCUCUUUCACGUGAUUCAGUUUAUUUUGGAAAGUCUCAACAGGAUCUUGAGCUUUAUUGUGAAAGGUUUAUGUGGAAAAUACACAAGCAGACACGAGAUGGUUUUACAGUCGUGGUUGCUAACGACAACGCAUUAAAACAGGCGCUUGUCCAUCCGUAGUGUGAUUAUAUUAAAUAUAAGAGAAAGAGAACUUUAAGAAAUUAAUAUAGCCACUACAGUGACAUCAAAACGAUGAAAAAAUAUUGACGUAAACAGUUUAUUUUGCGACACCACAAAACAAACGAUAGCGUAAAAUGAAACGAUAGAUGUUUUUAUAUCGUCAUCCGAUAUAUAUCGUUAUAUAUCGAACAGCCCUAAUCCUCACUCUCUCUAUUCAAGUACAAUACUGUUGAACUUAUUCUCAGUUUAUCUUAUUUCUGUAUAGUUGUAAACAUGUAUAUUUGAAUUUGUUAUAUUUUCAUGUUAUUUUACAGUGUUUUUCACCUUUGAAGGAGGACGACGUUCUGUCCCACUGUUACCUGAGUGUGUAUUGUUGGGUUGACAAUAAAACUCGACUAAAGCAACAGAGUACAAGCAUAGUACUGGGUUUGUUAGUACUACAUUACUGUAUAGUGCUCACACACACACACACACACACACACACACACUUCAUCAGCAGCAGCCAGUCUCUUUACUGUUGAUACAUUUAUCCAUAACUGCACAUGUGGAGGUGCAGGGAGGGAAACUCCGGGUUAACUGAGUGAGUUGAUAACGAGCUUCAGAAUAUCCUGAUUACCAAUGUUAGUGUAAACUAAUCAGAAUAACAGAAAUAUACACUGGGUAUAAUAAACCUGCUCUGUAGUGCAGGAGAUUCUACUUACAGAGCAGACACAGCACAGAUGUUUCCUUCAUCGUCCUUCUCACUCAUUUCAGCUUUUUCUCAUUUCUGUCUCUGACACCAAGUAAAGUCGCCCUCUUCCUCCUUCCUGUUGGUACAAAGAGAGUCGAGGUCAGAUACAUUAAAAACAUAUACAACUAUUAACACACUGUAAUGGUUACUUUCUUAUAACACGUGGUAUGAACGCCCUGUUACUUAAAAUUGCUACAAAAACACACAGAUAGUUUUUUUAAAGAAUAUUUCAAAGAUGGACGUCUGAUCGACAUCAUGAAUGUUACACCAGUGUCCACUCGAUGAACCUCUUCAGCAUCACCUGUGUACCCCUGUUAGACUUUCUAACAAGAAAAACUUUGUGUUUAUGAAUCGUUUUCUCAAAGAAUAAAACAUUUUAAAUAUUAAGAGUUGGAGAAAAAGGAGAAAAAAGAAGAAAAUGCACUUCAAUGAUGAGUCCUCCAACAAUUUCUUAUCCUACUAGUGAAAAAAGUUCCAUCACAGUUUAGUUUUGUUACCAGGUACUCUGACCUGAAAGGACUGAUGACCAUUCAGACUCACACCUCUGGGCGAUUCAGAAUCACCAGUGAACCUAACCCCACUGACUGCAUGUCUGUGGACUGUGGGAGGAAGCUGGAGUACCUGAAGAGAACCCACAAAAACACAAGGAGAACAUGCAAACCCCACACAGAGACCCCGACCAGGUGGUGGAUGCAAACGCUCGGUGUCACCAUGCUGCCCUCUUAUAAAUGUCACCCCACAUAAUGACUGGAUCAAACCCUAUUUAGGUACUUUAAAUAUACACAACAUGUAAACUAUUAAGAUACUAUAAAUCAUAAUAAUAAAUAAAAGUUGUAAUCCUACUUAUGUCAGCUGUAACUCUCAUCUGGACUCUAGAUUUUACAGUUUUGUUUUUACUAUUAUUAAGUGUCAGUGCACUUAUGUUAACGAUAGUGAAUCCUUAAGCUGUCAUCAUCGAUUUUCACCUGUCAGUCUCAUUCUGUCCUUUCUGAAAGUCUUUAACAACUGAAUCAUGAUGUGACUGAAAACACAAUGAAGACAAAAUAUUAGGUAUAAAAAACUGACUGUGGAAUAUUUAUUCUGUUUUAUCAACAUAUAUAAACACAUUUAAGGAUCUGACUGUUGACUAGCAUGCAAUGUAAAAAACAAAACUAAAAAAACAAAUGAACAGUUAUAAAUAAAUAUAUCAAACAUACAGUGGGAUACAAAGUAAAGUCGAUCAAUGCAUUUAUGGAUUACUAGAGGGGUUUUUUCUAAAAUGACCAUUUAAACAGAAGUCAUGUCCAAUGUUUCUAUUUAUUUUUUAUGUGUAACGUCUUUAAUUAUAUUGGUAAGUAGACUUCAGUGAACAUGAUUUAUGACGGGUUAUAUAUAAAAUGUAGAAAUGAGCUGUUUAGCAAAGUAUCUUAAAGACUGUGUUAUUUGACACGUUUCACAUAUAAUACACCAACAAGUCAAGUGCAAUGAUGCAAAUACGAAAAUGCGAAAACCAGGAAACCUGUUUAGGGCACAACCGCAGCCUUCACCGUUACGGGUGAAGUUAUAUGUCAUAGCGGGGACCGGACAAGAUGGGUACCGGAGUUCUUACGUCGCUCUUCGGGAUUCUUCUCCUCUGUUAUUACGCGUUUGCGUCCACAGACCAGAAAAACAUCACAGCUGAGUCUGGACAGGACGUCACACUGACAUGUCGAGCUCCAAACAAGAACAUCAUAGGUGUAGAGUGGAGCAGAGCUGACCUGGAGCCAGAAUAUAUCCUUGUGUACCGGGAUGGACACUUUGUUCCAGGUGACCAGCAUCCAUCUUUUAAGAACCGGGUGGAUCUGCAGGACAGACAGAUGAAGGAUGGAGACGUGUCUUUGAUUCUGAAGAAUGUGACGAUUAAUGACACUGGAACAUACAAGUGUCGUGUCUUCAUGGAAGAAACAAGCCGCAGGAAGAGAGCUCAUCUGGGUGUUGACCUCAUCAGCAUCGUCUCCCUGAGAGUUGUUGAUCCUCCAGGUCACACAGGAGGACACACAGAGGAUGGAGGGAAGGAGGAUGGAGGGAAGGAGGCUGAAGUCAGUAGAGGACAUUUUUGGCCUGUAGCUUUUACUUUGUUACUUCUUGGGCUCAUUGUUGUUGCUCUCGUGAUCGCUUCCAAACAGCCAAAGAAGAAUGUAUCCAACCAUCCUCCUUCUGAUGAACCAGCUGACAUCUGUUCUGAAAUCAGAGUGGGCUGAUAGCUUCUUUUUUGUUACUUUCUGUAUUCAUUGCUGCUUUUUUUGUUGUUGUUGCAAAACUGCAAAAGAAAAACAUUAUCCAAGGAUCUUCCUUCUGUUGAACCAGCUGCCAGCUGUUCUGAAACCACAGUGUCACUAAGAUGAUGCAAACAGCAGCCUUAUACAACAUUAAGUCUUACAUGGACUGUUACUUAUGUAGCCUCACACACUCUCACACUCAGAUCGAUGCAUCAGGGCAAAUCAGGCUUUAGUAUCUGAUACUGGCUGACUCCAGAGGCCGGGAAUCAAACCACCAACAUUUCAAUUUGCAUAACACCCACUCUGCCUCCUCCACAGAUCGAAUUGCACAGAACUCUGAUGCGUUUUUACUGAAUAAUCUUUAACUGUGAUUAUUGAAUAAAUGACAUUUUGAAAUUUGUCUUUGUCCUUGAUCCUGGUUGUUGCAGCUCCUCAGUUUGUCUUGAAUAUAAAAUGAAAGCAAAGUGUUCUCGCCUUUUGUGAAGCUGAAGAGUCACUGUGACAGUUUUACUAUAAGUCAGCAUGACUGCAGGAUUAGAUCCAGAUCAGAUCAAUCAAUGAGUAGAGCUCUUAAGAAGGAAUGGAAAUUGAAAAUGAUUCAUUGAUGUACAGAAUUCAAUUUGAAGUAUUUGGUGCUUAGACUUUGAUGGCCCAUCACUGUUGACUUCAGACCACAGAUGUGAUUUCUGAUGGAGUUUUGCAUUUAAAACCUGCAGACUUUGUUCCUUUAAGCUAACAAGUAGCAACACAAAUCAUCAUGUUUCUUACUGAGACUUUUUGAAUGUUUUAUGACGAUUGCAGCCGUCUUGUUUCUUCUGUGGUUGAAUGGAUAUAGCUUUGUAAUGACUAUUGUUAAUAAAUGGUAAAUAUUUGUUUUGCUGUUG
ensembl:lncRNA